rnacentral:rRNA from 1 species
GAUGAACGCUGGCGGCGUGCCUAAUACAUGCAAGUCGAGCGAACAGACGAGGAGCUUGCUCCUCUGACGUUAGCGGCGGACGGGUGAGUAACACGUGGAUAACCUACCUAUAAUACUGGGAUAACUUCGGGAAACCGGUGCUAAUACCGGAUAAUAUAUUGAACCGCAUGGUUCAAUAGUGAAAGACGGUUUUGCUGUCACUUAUAGAUGGAUCCGCGCCGCAUUAGCUAGUUGGUAAGGUAACGGCUUACCAAGGCAACGAUGCGUAGCCGACCUGAGAGGGUGAUCGGCCACACUGGAACUGAGACACGGUCCAGACUCCUACGGGAGGCAGCAGUAGGGAAUAUUCCGCAAUGGGCGAAAGCCUGACGGAGCAACGCCGCGUGAGUGAUGAAGGUCUUCGGAUCGUAAAACUCUGUUAUUAGGGAAGAACAAAUGUGUAAGUAACUAUGCACGUCUUGACGGUACCUAAUCAGAAAGCCACGGCUAACUACGUG